GACGAACGCUGGCGGCGUGCUUAACACAUGCGAGUCGAACGGAAAGGCCCUGCUUUUGUGGGGUGCUCGAGUGGCGAACGGGUGAGUAACACGUGAGUAACCUGCCCUUGACUUUGGGAUAACUUCAGGAAACUGGGGCUAAUACCGGAUCGGAGCUCCUGCUGCAUGGUGGGGGUUGGAAAGUUUCGGCGGUUGGGGAUGGACUCGCGGCUUAUCAGCUUGUUGGUGGGGUAGUGGCUUACCAAGGCUUUGACGGGUAGCCGGCCUGAGAGGGUGACCGGCCAAAUUGGGACUGAGAUACGGCCCAGACUAGUACGGGAGGCAGCGGUGGGGAAUAUUGCACAAUGGGCGGAAGCCUGAUGCAGCAACGCCGCGUGCGGGAUGACGGCCUGCGGGUUGUAAACCGCUUUCGCCUGUGACGAAGCGUGAGUGACGGUAAUGGGUAAAGAAGCACCAGCUAACUACGUG
rnacentral:rRNA from 1 species